UGGCAAACCAAAAAACAUAUUCUAUCUAAAGUGGAUGGCCACAACUUGCUCCAGCUGUGGAAACUUGGGCCAUGUACUGCUAGAUCUAAGGAUUUUCUUUUGAGAGAUGCUAGAUAUAUACGUUUUUUAAAAAUAAAAUUAUCCUGAUUUUAACAACAUUGCCUUAUUAUAUAAAACAUACCUUGGAGGGUGUGGGUAAGACACAAUGUCCUUGAAAUUAUAUUUCACUAGGUUAAUAAAAUUGGCUCCGGAAGAAAAUAAUUUUAAACAGCAAACCAAAAAGUGAAGGCCUUCAAAACUAACAAACCAAAGGAAAACAAAACAAAAUGACAACAAGAAAAAAACAAAGAAACAAAACCCCUGGACCUUACCAUUUUUCUAAGGCAUGUUGACAUGAUAAAAUCAAAAUUGCUUUGUGCUUAUAAGGAUCAAAGGUUAUGCUUUUGACUUUAUAAAUUCAGAGAAAGAAUUUAAUUGGAAUUAUUUUUAUGAAUUAACUGAAGAUCUAAGGCAACUGGAUAAUUUAGGUUCUGCUAAUAUCUAGAAUAUUCAAAGUUUAUGUUUAGUCUGACACUAAAGAAUCCAUUAUUUCUCUUGACUUCCAGGCUGGUCAGUGUCUUUCCUGUGUCAUAUACCAAACAAUGUGUUAGAAAUUGUCUUCUCACUCAUAAACUAAUAUUUGUUCAGAGUAAAAAGUCAAGCAAGUAAAUAAUGAGAAAAAAUUCAGUGUAUUGUAUAAACAAAGACAGAAGGCAGACCAAUGGUUACCUGGGGCCUAAGCUAAAGAGAUUAAUUGUACACAGACACAAAGGAAUUUUUUGGGAUGGUGAAAGUGUUCUAAAACUGGAUUGGGAUGAUUGUGGCACAACUGUAUAAAUGUUAUUAAAACUCAUUGAGUUGUACACUUAAAUGAGUGGCUAAGUUGUGCUUUAAUAAAGCUGUAAUUUUGAAAAAGAAUAAUGGAUGAUCAACUGUGGGCUAGAGUAUGAUGAAAACACAAGACAUUUACAUAGUUUCAAAGUAUCUCCCCAUCAGGUACUUAUUAACUGCAUCAGGGAAACAGUAAUUUUCUUGUGGCAGAACCCUGCUGACAAAGUUAACAUUCUAGUAAAAGCACAGGUGGAUGUCAUGUGCCUCCUGAAGUGAUGCACAGAGAAGGAUGCAACAUCAACUUGUAGUAUCCCUGCCAAAAAUAUAAAACCUGAAUUUAACCAUGCUGAAACAUAAGACAAAUCCAAGUGAAGGAACAUUCUACAAAACAACUGACCAGUACUCCUCAAGAGUGUCAAGGUCCUGGAAGACAAAGACUGAGCAAUGCUUCUGAUUAAAGUAGACUGAGAGGUGACAACUGAAUGCAAUGUGGGAUUCUGGAUUAGGUCUUGGCCCAGAAACAGGUCUUCGGUGGGACAACUGGCAAAAUGUGAAUAAGGUCUCUGGUUUUGUGAAUGGUAGCGUAUCGACGCUCAUUACCUGCUUUUGAUCAUGGUAGUGAUAGUAAGAUAUUAACAUUCAGGAAAGCACAGUGAAGGGUAUAUGGGAACCUCUACUAUUUUUGUAGCUUUUGUAAGUUGAAAUUGUUUCAAAAUGAGUUAGAAAAUUAAAAGGAAGUUUUCUCUUUCAGCUGGGAAAACGGCAAUGGAUUAAUAACAAGAAAUUAAUGGUGAAGUGGUGACGAAAAUUCUACAUUGCUUAGAAAGCAAAUAGUGAAAUGAACAUUUACAUUCUGGCAACCUCAGAAGUACAACGAACAAAGGACACCAGCCAGGUAGGGCAAAGGCCUGUGAACCCCCUUUUGCUGUUAAAUGUUUAUCAGAUGAGUGCUCUGUUUCUGUUAUAUUAUAUUGCUUUUCUCUCCAAUGUUUACUGAGGAAGAACAAGUAGCUCCUCAGGCAAGUCAACUGUUAACUUUGCAGUUUUUAUUUAAUCUCCCAGGAAUGUAACCCUUAACUUUAAAGAAUGUAGUGACCAUAAAACUUAUAAAGCAUGUUUCUUAAGGAAAUUGUACCUGUUUAUUUAAUCUAUCAGAUAUGAAUGUUAUAGAAAAUUAAAUUUGUCCACUUAAGCUGUAGAUGAACUUUUCACCUUUCUGAUCAGAAAUUCACCAUCUUAUAGUAUAGGUUCUGUUAUUAAUCAGAAUAUUUCAUUUAGACUCUUUCUAUCCAACUUUUUCUUAGAGGCUAUUCAAAAUAAAGGUGCUUCUAACAGUUUCAUAUCGAAAUACGAUGCAAAGCCUUGCUCUUCCAUGGUAUCCUUUGAGUGAGCCAAACUUAUUUAGCCAUUCCCCUAUAGUUAAAUAGCUAGGAUGUUUCCAACAUCUCACCUUUAAAACAAUAGUGCUAUGAAUGUCAUAAAUGUUUGUAUAUGUAAAUAUGUAGGAUAAAUCCCUAUCAGUAGAAUUUCAAAAGGUAUACGCAAUCAGUAUUUUCAUACAUAUUUAAAAUUUUCCAUCCAUACAAAGGUUGCUAACAUAUUUAUUUAAAAUUUUAAAAAUAAUUUUAUAUGCCUCUUGUAACCAGUAAUAGGAUGCAAAGUUUUUUUUAAGGUAACAUUGCUCCUCUUCCCCCAUUGUCUCUGUCAUCUAUAGUACUCCCUGAGGUAGUUCAUGUUAUUGCAAGGGUGUGUAUCAUCACAAACAUAUUGCUUCCACAUACAUAUAUCAGCAUACAUAUAUAUAUAUGUAUAGCAUAUAUAUAUAUGAGCACAUAUUAAUAUAUGCCCAUGCACAUACAAGCAUGUUUUUGUUAAUUUUUACUGAAAUGGAAUCAUACUGCAUACUUAUGAACAAAUUGCUUCUUUCACCUUAUAUCACUUAUAAUUGUUAUUCUACAAAUCAGUACAUAUAAAAAAUACAUAUUUACAUAUGUAAUACUCUAUCUUUCUGUUAUAAUUUUCUGCAUGCACAUGUAUGCAUAUACAUAUAUUCAUAAACAUAAAACUUAAUCUAAACGGGAUUUUUUUUGGGGGGGGUGAUAUGGUUUGGCUGUGUCCCCACCCAAAUCUCAUCUUGAAUUCCCAUGUGUUGUGGGGGGACCCGGUGGGAGGUAAUUGAAUUAUGGGGGCAGGUCUUUCCUGUGCUGUUCUCGGGAUAGUGAAAAAGUCUCACAAGAUCUGAUGGUUUUAAAAAGAUGAGUUUCCCUGCAUAAUCUCUCUUCUCCUGUCUGGUUCCAUGUGAGAUGUGCCUUUUGCCUUCCGCCAUGAUUGUGAGGCCUCCCCAGCCAUGUGGAACUGUAAGUCCAAUAAACCUCUUUCUUUUGCAAAUUGCCCAGUCUCAGGUAUGUCUUUAUCAGCAGCAUAAAAAUGAAACAAUACAGUAAAUUGGUACAAGUAGAGUGGGGCGCUGCUGAAAAGAUACCUGAAAAUGUGGAAGAAACUUUGGAACUGGGCAACAAGCAGAGGUUGGAACAGUUUUGAGGGCUCAGAAGACAGGAAUAUGUGGGAAAGUUUGGAGCUUCCUAGAGACCUGUUGAACGACUUUG
rnacentral:lncRNA from 1 species